UACGAAGGGGGCUAGCGUUGCUCGGAAUUACUGGGCGUAAAGCGCACGUAGGCGGCUUUGUAAGUAAGAGGUGAAAGCCCAGAGCUCAACUCUGGAAUUGCCUUUAGACUGCAUCGCUUGAAUCAUGGAGAGGUCAGUGGAAUUCCGAGUGUAGAGGUGAAAUUCGUAGAUAUUCGGAAGAACACCCAGUGGCGAAGGCGGCUGACUGGACAUGUAUUGACGCUGAGGUGCGAAAGCGUGGGAGCAAACAGG
rnacentral:rRNA from 1 species